rnacentral:misc_RNA from 1 species
UUUCCGUAGGUGAACCUGCGGAAGGAUCAUUAAAAAUGAAGCCGGGAAACCGGUCCUUCUCACCCUUGAUUAUCUCAAAUUGUUGCUUUGGUGGGCCGCGCAAGCACCGGCUUCGGCUGGAUUGUGCCCGCCAGAGGACCACAACUCUGUAUUAUAUGUCGUCUGAGUAUUAUAAAAUAGUUAAAACUUUCAACAACGGAUCUCUUGGUUCUG